UGUUCCCCCCCCCCCUGCUCUUCAUUGUCUAGCAAGCAUUUUACCGUAUUCCAGAAGGAUAAAAAAUGAUUCUCUCCGCUGCUAGAAAUGCAGCUACCAGGGAGACUUUUCUUGUAGAGAGAAAAUAGCAAGGACAAACGGCGAGCCAAAACCAACAGUUAGCUAUUCGUUUCCAGCUGGAAAAACGUAUCAUUUUUUUCAGCCACACCCCAUGCUGUUGUGAUCCCAGCUCUUUUUACGCCUAGAGUUUUUACAUUUUCUGGCCUGACCUUAGCCCAGCAUCUCUGAUCCAAGUGCGGCUGUUUAGAACCCCACCACCACCACCACCACCACCACCCCCACCACCAAAUCCUUCCAUUUUCCUUGUCCAGCCUACCAUGCUGCUUACCACGUCUAGGGAAUAAAAAGUGGAUGGUGCUCUUCUUCCUGGCCAAUUGGCUUGGGCAUCUCAGUCAAUACAAUUCCCUACUGACUUGGGGCAGACUGUGGCCCAAAGCACUCAUUUCUCACUAAAAGCAAUGGAAAAUUCUUUGACAUGGCCCCAACCAUCACCACUCACUCUGGCAGAAGCAACCAUCAUUGUGAUUUGUCUGCCUGGAGACAGGCAGGGUCAGAGUGAGCAGGAUGUCACUUGGAAAGCAGGUUGUUUUUCUGCAGUGAAUUUAGGUUUAUUGAGUUUGUAAAAGCUUCAUUUUGGAAACAACAAAGGCUAUUGUUCAUAAUUAAGCGUCACAACCCUACAUCCCGAGGCUUCCCAACCCUAAACAAGCAUGUGUUAAGGACACUGGAACUUUAGGACUGAGGCCAUCGGCUAUAAAGGACACUAUGUAGGUCCUGUUACGUUGGGAGGCUCACUGUACAAGAAGAAAAAGAGGAACCAGCAAGAAGACUGUGGGAGACAGGAACUGUCACUAUACACUGAGACUUCAAAGAAACCAUGACUGCCACCACCCACCAACCUCAGAGUAGUUUUCUGAACUGAAGAAGCAGUCGGAAAGAGCUUGUCACUGAAGCUCCUCAGAAGUGCUUUGUGGCCGAGGAUUUCCAGAUUUGACAGGUGGCCAGUGCCAUCUCACCAGCCUCCCCUCCUGGGAAUCCUUACUCCACUCCCUUACUGGCUGCACUUGGACUCCCAGCGUCCUCAGAGGCAGUCAUGCAAGUGCUGUUAGAAAGUCCAGGCCUCCCAGCGUCCUCAGAGGCAGUUGUGCAAGUGCUGUUACAGAGACUGUUACAGAGACUGUCUGCAUCUUGGCCUCCCAGCGUCCUCAGAGGCAGUCGUGCAAGUGCUGUUAGAAAGUCCAGGCAUUGCAUGACAAGAACAGUUUUCCAUCUCUUCAAAAAAUUGAACACAGCCUCCUGUUUAAAGAAGGUGCUACCGUUGAGUGUCAUCCCAGUCCUGGGUGCACUGCCCACAAAGAUCCCCAAAUUCAGCUGGGAAUGUCGGUCUGUAUCUAGGCCUUUAGGAAGUAAUUAUGAUUAAUUACGGUUGUGAGGAUGGGGUCUCCCGGGUGGCCAAAAGAAAAGGAGAGAGCAGAGCUAGCCUGAUCUGAUCCGCACCAGAUGCAGGUAUCACGGUGCCCUUACAGUUCCUAGUCUCUAGAAUCAUAUGGUAAAAACAACAAGGAAAACAAGCAAACAAACUAACAAACAAACAAACCCUCUAUUUUUUAUAAGCCGUAUCCUGGAGCUAGCAAGAGCCACCAACAUGUAAAAGUGUUUGUCACCCUGCCUGAUAGCCUAUGUUCAAUGCUGAGAACAUACAUGGUAGAAUGAGAACUCCGGUGGCCUUAACAUGCAAGCCAUAGUAUUCAUGUACUCAAACAUUCCUGUGUGUGAGCACAUGCGCUUGUGUGUGCAUGCA